rnacentral:lncRNA from 1 species
GAAAAGAUGCUCAAUGAAAUUCAUCAUCAGGGAAACAGAAAUCAAAACCACAAUGUGAUACCACUUCAUAGCCAUAAGGAUGGCUAGAAUCGAAGAUACAGAAAAUUGGCCUGGUGUGGUGGCUAAUGCCUGUAAUCCCAGCACUUUGGGAGACUGAGGCAGGUGGAUCACCUGAGGCCAGGGGUUUGAGACCAGCCUGACCAACAUGGUGAAACCCUGUCUCUACUAAAAAAAUACAAAAAUUAGCCAAGCAUCGUGGCAGGUGACUAUAAUACCAGCUACUCUGGAGGCUGAGGCAGAAGAGUAACUUGAAUCUGGGAGGCAGAGGUUGCAGUGAGCUGAGAUUGUGCCACUGCACUCCUGCCUGGGCGACAGAGCAAGACUUUGUCUCAAAAAAAAAAAUACAGAAAAUAACAAGUGUUGUUGAGGAUGCAGAGAAACUAGAACUUUCAUACACUGCUGGUAGGAAUUAAAAUGGUGUAGCCACUGUGAGAAACACUUUAACAACUUCCCAAACAAUUCUACAUAGAGUUAUCAAAUGACCCAGUAAUUGUACUCCUAGGUAUAGGCCCAACAUGGGCUCUUUUAAUCUAUGGAAAUUGAACUAUGGGUACUUGGCAAGAACAAAGAGGGAGAGAGGAAGAAAUGGUGCCAUGAGGGCACAUUGAUUGGUCUCUAAUACACAGGGCUCCUACCGCAAAUUGUCUCUAAAUGACUUCAUCAGUUGCUCAUAAAAAAAAUCACCCUCUGAUCCAAUCGUGGAGGAAGAAGUGUGGAUUGGACCUGGUGAGCCACGGUAAGACUGACUGCUAAACUUUAUGAAUGAUGAGGGGAUUUGCACGUAUAAUCUUGACUGUACUAGAUUUUUUAUUUUAUCCACUAUCUUUGAAAACCUAACUCUUGACUAAGAACUGACUUUCCUGUACUUGUUUUUGACUCUAAGUAAAUUUCCAAUUCCACAUAGUCCAAAGAUGAUGUGUUGAGAAAUCUCUCAAAGGAAAAAUGCUAAUACAGGCAGAGUUAUGCGGCAAAUUUUGCAGAAUUUACACAAAUUGUACUUGUAGGUACGAAGCACAAAACAUUUUCAUGAGUAAAGAAAAAAGUGCUGUUCAUUCUAGUAGAGGCUGCAGGAUGAAGCCAAUCAAGGUUCUUGCCCGGCCAGACCUCGGGCUCUUACCAAAUUUGUGUUAGAGUCAACUCUGAUGGAGUCUGUAUCUCAGUCAUCUUUUUUUGACAUGGAAUCUCGCUCUGUCUCCCAGGCUGGAAUGCAGCAGGGUGAUCUCAGCUCACUGCAACAUCUGCCUCCUGGGUUCAAGCGAUUCCCCUGCCUCAGCUUCCCAAGUAGCUGGGGCUACAUGUGCGUGCCACCAUGCCUGGCUAAUUUUUGUAGUUUUAGUAGAGACGUUUCAUCAUGUUGGCCAGGCUGUGCUCAAACUCCUGACCUCAAGUGAUCCACCUGCCUUGGCCUCCCAAAGUGCUGGGAUUACAGGCAUGAGCCACCAUGCUCUACCUCAGUCAUCUUUUAUCCUCCAUGCCUGGCAAGUUCUAGACCCACUGCGGUUCCAUACAAGUUUUUUGAAUAAAUAGGAGACAGAUAGAAAGUGGGAACUCUGGAAGUAGAGAAGAUUCCAGAAAUUGUGCAUAUUUCUCAGAGACUGUGGCCAAAUUCCUCAGUCCUGCCAGAGUUUCUCUAUCUCAACUCAAACCUUAUGUGUGGGCCCAGACACAGUGGCUCACACCUGUAAUCCCAACACUUUAGGAGGCUGAGGUGGGCAGAUCACUAGAGGCCAGGAGUUUGAGACCAGCCUGGCCAACAUGGUGAAAUCUUGCCUCUACUAAAAAUACAAAAAUUAGCCAGGCAUGGUGGUGUGCACCUGUAGUCCCAGCUAUUCCGGGGGCUGAGGCACAGCAUUGCUUGAACCCAGGAGGUGGAGGUUGCAGUAAGUCACGAUUAUGGCACUGUACUCUAGCCUGGGCAAUAAAGCAAGACUGUCUCAAAAGAAAAAAAUACGCUUAUGUGUGGGCCUUGUUACAGAAUUAAUGUUUAUAUGGACAAUAUGUACAUGGGUGUAUGUUAAGAGCAUGAGUCAUCCACAAGAUUUUAGCAAAGUCCAUUUAGAAAGCUCAAUGCUUUGGGCUUCCACUUGCCUUGCUGCCUGUGUCCUCAGAAGGAGGCUUCAUCCUUCCAUAUAACCAGCAAAUCCUUUAUGCAGAGAUGUACACAACACACUCCUAUCCUUGGCCAUAACACCUUGAAAGGUUCCUCUUGGUGGCCCCUGGUGCUCAUUUCAGAGUAGUUCAAAUUAAGGUGAUCAGCUUUCAUGCCAAUCACUCUACAAAUCACUCCUAUUAUGACCAAUUUUUCUAAAUGCUUUAUUGAAUUAUUACUUAAAGAAAUGUGCACGUAGAAGAGGUCAACACUACUUUUCUUACAAACUGAACAUACUGGCCAGGCGCAGUGGCUCAUGCCUGCCAUCCCAGCACUUUGGGAGGCCGAGGUGAGCAGAUUGCUUGAGCCCAGGAGCUUGAGACCAGCCUGGGCAACAUAGUGAGACCCCCCUCUCUACAAAAAAUAAAUAAAUACAAAAAUUAGGCAACAGUGAUGGCACAUGCCUGUAGUUCCAGCUACUCAGGAGGGCUGAGGUGGGAGGGCUGCUUGAGCCCAGGAGGCAGAGGCUGCUGUGAGCCAUGACGGUGCCACUGUGCUCCAGCCUGGGUGACAGAGUAAGAUCCUGCCAAAAAAAAAACCCAAAAAAACUGAACAUCUCCAUAUUACCGACACCCAAUUCAAGAAACAGAACAUUACAGCCCCUUCCAGGAUAUUCCUGGGGUCUCUUCCAUCUCUACUAACCCCUGACUACAAACAGCCUCCACCUAUUUCACCUGACAUUGUACUUUAUGAAAGCAGCAGUUCUCAGAUGGGGCUAUUUUGCCCCCUGGGGACAUUAGGCAAUAUCUGGAGACACUGGGGGUUGUCUGAAAUUGGGGGGAGUUCUGUUACUGCAUCCAGUGAGUCCAGGGAUCCAGGGAUGCCGCUCAACAUCCUAAAAUGCACAGGGAACCCCCACACAUAGAACAGAGAAAUUGCUGAGCCGAAAUGUCAGCAGCGUCACAGCUGACACCCUGACAUACACAGAAUCACACAGUAUCUGCUCUUUCGUGCUCAGGAUUUCUGUCAUUCUAAUCAUUUCAUAGGAAACAGAAAUGUCAUUUGGAGGUAGGUAGAGUCCAAAACAAAGAAGAUCCAGAGUUUUGUUUUUAAUCAGCCUGGUGCCUUUAGAGCUAGGAUUUAGUUUCCAUUCUUUCUGUCUCAUUUUCAAGUGAUUUUUCUUCAACUGGCAUCUGCUGGGCUCAAGACCCGGAGAUCCCCACAAAGCUGAGAUUCACAUGGGAAUUUUGUACACACCCACACAGCUAUACACUGCCAUUUACAUGCAGACAUCCACCCACAGAUACACACAUCCGGAGACCAAGACAGAAAGCAAACUCCACCAUAAAAGCAUGGUUCCCUGAACAAGAGAAAUGCACCAUUCACUCAAGGGAGUUACCUAUUUGUUUAAUUCAGCCUGUGAUAGGCUGUUGCCAAGCCCAGCUCUGAAAGUCUUCUCCUCUAGGAAAAGAGAUGGAUUUUUUCUUUACUCAAGAAUAUAGAUCUAAAAAAAACAAACACUUCUGCAUCUCAAAGCAGGCUCUACGUCCUGAGCUACACAUAUUGAUCAGCAUUUUAUUGUCAUUUUUCUUUUAUUUGAACUGGAGAAAAAUAUAACCUAAUUGUGUUCUUACUGACAGUUUGGAAUCAGUCACACUAAAUCCAAUUCUCUGGGUUCUCAUGAUUAAGGUGUUUAAUUUGGGGGACAACAAAGCAAAAGCAUUGGUCGUGUUUUAAUAUAAUUAGUACAGGAUAUAUCGAAGGGGUUCAAGUAUCACUGUAGCAAGAAGCUCAUUCUGCAGUAAAAGGGGGAUUCUGCCACUAGGAUUGAGUGAGGGUGAUUCAUGGCUGCACCGUUUCAUCAAUGUCUCUUCAAGAGUACAUGGAAUGUGGAAUGGGAAAGACUGAAAUAGUCCAAGUCUUGGCUAAGCUUCUAUUAAGGGGUGUUAGGAGCUGAUAAAAUAACCUGGUCUUUAUAGACAUCCCACACUGUAGUUCUGUAAGCUACAGAUUCUCAGAUUUUUCUAUUUUAUAAACCAGUAAAAAUAUUUUAUUAAUUUGAGAACCAACAUAAGGUUGCUACUUUUUUUUCUUUUUGGUAAGAAGGAACUUUUUUAAACUACCAGUUUCACACACACACACACACACACACACACACACACACACACACACACAGAAAUUCCACCAUGAUUGGUCAGAAUAGGUGAGGUUUUGCUGCAAUAACAAACAACUCCUAAAUCUUGGUAACUUCAAACAUCAGUAGUUGUUUUUCUCACUCAUGCUACAUCUGCAGGGAGGUGUGGGGUGCUCUGUUUUCCAUCAAACUUGCUCUAAGACUAAGGCUAAUGGGGGCUGCAUUACCUCGAGUAUCACCAAGCAGGGAACAGCGGGAGAAGAAUGCUAGGGAGCCUUGUACUAAGAAUUAAAUGCUCCAGGCUAGAAGUCUCACACUGCACCUCUGCCCCCAGCCUCUUGGCCAGUACUAGCCACAUCACCUCCCCCACCACAGGGCAAUGCAUGAAGACAGGAGAAUUUGAUACAUUACAAAUUUCUACCCCAUGGCAUUUCAUAAAAGAGAAAAAAAUGCAAAUACAAAAAUGUUUUAAUAGAAUAGAAUAUAUACAUUUUUAGAAUAAAGAACAAUCCUCCAAAAAGGACAGCUGGUGGUCUUUCACCAAUGGGCACAUUUCUGUGACAUUUUCUCUGUUUUUCCAUUUUAUCCUUGACCUAUGAACAUUUUAUACAGAUGGUCCAAAGAACACCAUUUGGGGACCACUGCUCUAAUCAGGUGAUGAAAACGGCCCCAAGAACAGAGCACAAUCUCUUUAGCAAAGACCCAGCAGGGCCAGGGUGACCAUGUUCUCACCAUCAAUGUGCAGACAUCCACCUGCAGCAUCCUCACAUCCCAACAUCAAACAGUGGCUCUUUAUAGCUUGAUUCUAAUGCCCUUUGAUCUUCAUAAUAAUUGUAACACUCUCUGGCCCCAAGAUCUAACAUUGCCACUCUAGCUACAUCCUGCAACUGUUCACCUCUCCUGCCUCCUCAUCCCUCUAAACUUCUCUUCACAACCUCAUGUUUCCUUCUUGCUUUACCUUCCUGCUCAGCCUGGACCUUACAGUCACCUUCUUCUUGUAAUGUGCUCCUGAACUCGUUCUUCCCUGCCUUCAACCACACCCACCUGGAAAAUCUCCAUACCCCAUUGAUGACUUGCCUCGCAACUGCCCAAGGGCUGCUGAAUGAUACUGGAAAGAAUCACAACAUGGAUCUGGUAGUUCCACUAAAUAAUCUCACCAUCCAACUCUAGGAUAGACUUCACUUCUGUUCAGCAAUAUCUUUAAGCAUCACAAAUAAAUUCCAAACCAUAUUUGCUAGAACAACUGACUUUAAACCUCUUACAUAUCUCAAAGCCUCCCAAACCCAUCCCUAGGGGUUUCAGAGCCCAGAGUUGAGUUCUCUCAACUCACUUCCAUCUCACCCCUAGAUCACUGUACCUUGACCCUCUUCCUCUGCCUUUCCCAUCUUAUAAGGAGAAGCAUCCUUCUCCUUUCCCAAGCUACCUUCUCCACUUGUGCCUCAUUUGAGACCUCCCUUUAUCACCCGUUCCCUUGGAACUCCCAUGACUCACCACCUUCACUUGUCUUUUCACUCAUAAAUAUUUUGCACCAUGUAUGUGCCAGGCGUUUAACAUAGAAUCAUGCUUAAGUCUCUACAUGCUAACAAGAAAAACCUUGAUUAUCCCUGCUAUACCCUCAAGUCAUUACCUUCCCCGCUCCUUUCCUGUGUUCCCAAACUUUGUUGAUCUUCAUCAAUCCCUCUGAUGCAGAUGGCUCCGAAGUUUGCACCCUAUUAGGUUGGUGCAAAAGUAAUUGCGGAUUUUACCAUUAAAAGUAAUGGCAAAAAUAGCAAUUAUUUUUGUACCAGCCUAGUAAAUUUUCUCCUUCUACCAAACUUUGUCCCUGAGCCAUCUCAUCACCUAUAACUACCUCCUCCAUGCAGUUGAUUCCCAGAUCUCUAUUAUUCUACUGAAAGUCCAUUCCCCAACGUUCUCAGCUAGGAUAACAGAAGCCCAAUUAGAAUUCAUGAUACCAGUUUCCCACCACCACCACCACCACCGUCGCCCUGCCAUUGUUAGCAAAACCAUCUCUUGAGUGGAGCUCAAAGAUUUGUAAUCUCCCACUCCCCAGAAAGAUAACUUCAGACUCAGCCUAGAAGUAAAGAUCCUCCAGAUAUGGCCUCAACUAUGCUCCAACCCAUGUCCCCAGCACAUUCCUUUGAUGCCCCCUUCAAUGGAGUUAAAAUGGAGUGAGUGUUUUUCUUUUCACAUACUCCUGGUGUUCUUCCAAGAAUACAAUUUUCACCUCUUGAAUAUUUUCAAUAAUUCUCCAUGAUACACACAGUGAAAUCCAAACUCCCCAUCAGGACCCCAGUCUUCCCAAAUGCUCUUUGCACUUUUCUGCCUCCAUGAUUUCCCUUGGGUCAUCCUCUUCUCUAAUAUAACCUUGUGUAUUACUCUAGGUUCUCCAGAGAAAGAGCAGAGAGAUAGAGGUAGAGCUAUACACAUAGAGAGAGACAGACUGAUUUGUUGUAAGGGAUGGCUCACAUGGUUAUGAAGGCUAAGGAGUCCUGGAGUCUGCAGCCAGCAAGCUGGAGACCCAGGACAGCCAAUGAUAUAGUUCCAACUCGAGUCCACAUCUAAAGUCAGGAGAAGAUUGAUGUCCCAGCUCAAAUAUAAUCAGGUAAAAAGAGCAAAUUCUCUGUGACUCUACCUUUUUGUUUUGUUCAGGCCUUCAGUGGAUUGGAUGAGGCUCACCCACUUUGGGGAGGACAAUCUGCUUUAUUCAGUCUACCAAUUAAGGGUUAUCCUCAUCCAGAAUACCUCAGAGACACACCCAGAAUAAUGUGUAGCCAAAUAUCUGGGCAGCCCACAACCCAGUCAAAUUGAUACAUAACACUAACCAUCAUGUCUUACUUCUACUCUCUCCCCAUUACUGCAUGGCCAAAUCCUUCCCUUAUUUCAAGGCUUAGUUCAAAUGUUACCUCUUAACUAAGCCUUCCCUGCUAACCCCAAAUAUUAAUAGAAUUGGUGUCUCCCUUCUCUGAUGUCUCAAAAUAUGUUGUGUUUCUCUUUUACUGUAUUUAUUACAAACUCCCUUAUAAAUCAAGAGAGUGAUUCCCAGACAAAUUAUCAAAAUAGUAUAAAAGAAGUCUUCUUUGAGUGUGAAAUAUCUCAUGGAAUAUAGCACAUGGCCUCUUCAUGAAGAAACUACUGGGAGAGAAGAAGACAAGCUGGAAGAGGCCAGGGAAACGGGGUUAGUACAAAGCACAAUGAGGCUGGGCACAUACAGUGGCUCACACCUGUAAUCCCAGCACUUUGAGAGGCCAAGGCCGGCGGAUCACGAGGUCAGGAGAUUGAGACCAUCCUGGCUAACACGGUGAAACCCCGUCUCUACUAAAAAUACAAAAAAGUUAGCCAGGCAUGUAGGCGGGCGCCUGUAGUCCCAGCUACUCGGGAGACUGAGGAAGGAGAAUGGUGUGAACCCGGGAGGUAGAGCUUGCAGUGAGCCGAGAUCACACCACUGCACUCAAGCCUGGGUGACAGAGCAAGACUCCAUCUCAAAAAAAAAAAAAAAAAAAAAAAAAAAAAAAAAAAAAAAAAAAGAUAGCACAAUGAAAUGUCAGUGGAUGGGUGCCUAUAAUUUCUAAGGGAAAUAGAAUAUAAUCCAAGAAUUUUAUAGCCAGCUAAAUUAUUUCCCAAUCAAAAUAGGCAAAAGACACUAUCACAUGCUGAAGGACUUAAAGAAUACAGUAUUUCUGAGAUCUUUAAAAAAAAAAGUCUUCAUAAUAAAAUUUAGUCAGCCAAGAGAUUAAAAAAUAAGCAACUUGUGUAUUGAAUGACCAUGACAAAAGGCUAGUGAUAGGACUAUGAUUGCAGAACAGAAAGAGAAGUUGGUCAACCUUAACAACAUAAAACAACCUAGAAAUAACUAGUUUCCAGAGGUAAAGGGAGGGAAUGUAGGAAGUAGAAGUGCUAAUGCCCUUUAUUAAGUCAAUUAAUCAGGUCUAAAAUUGAAACGUGAUUUUAAAUAUAUAACUUCUUAUUUAUUUUCCUCCCUAACUACCUGAGGAUCAACCACCAUCAUGAAUGACACAGUAACUACCUGGACCAGGAAGUUCAUGACCAAUCAACCGCUCCAGAGGAAACAAAUGUUCACCAAUGCCCUUCACCCCGGAAAGGCAACAAAAUGUACAAGACCACAAUGGAUGUCAUCUUCAUAUUAAUAUUUGGACUCAGAACCCAUUUUGGUGGUGGUUAAACAAUCGUCACCCACAUUGGAGUGCAGUGGUACGAUCUCAGCUCACCAAAUCUCUGCCUCCCAGGCUUAAGCAAUUCUCCUGCCUCAGCCUCCCCCGUAGCUGGGAUUACAGGCACGCACCACUACUGCCUGGCUAAUUUUUAUAUUUUUAGUAGAGAUGGGGUUUCACCUUGUUGGCCAGGCUGGUCUUGAACUCCUGACCUCAAAUGAUCCACCCGCCUUGGCCUCCCAAAGUGCUAAGAUUACAGGCGUGAGUCACCGCGCCCAGGCUUUUCUGUAUUAAAUUUUUAAAAACAUAACAUUUAAAAUAAUCAAGUCAUUCGUUUUGAAUCUACUUUGUAUUAUAGGUAUCCAAAUACUCACCUAUUCUCUCUCACAUGAUGACAAACUCGUUGAAAUGUCAUUUCAUUUAGUGGCUCCAGCCCCAGGGAUUCUGACUCUAAUUCUAAAGGGCCUGCAUGCAGAGCGAGCAAGCCGCCUGGAUGAUUCUCUUACAGGUGUUUUAAGGGCAGCAGUUUGAGACACCCUGAUGCAUAAGAACCAACCCUCAAGGAAGUUGGCUGUACAUGUAUUUUCCUUCCUAGUACAGGAAACGACAGAAAGAUUAUCCAAUCAGUACCACUCAUGGCACCUGAUUAUAUGUGUAUGAGGAAUUCAGAAAUGGUUUGAUCAAGGUUGAAGACCUAAAAAGAAGCUUUUCUCUCGGACACCAAGUCUCCAUCUCAUGCGUGGUUGAGUUAGUAGAAACUGAGGAUGAUGCUUCUUCCUCCAGCAUUGAUAUCCUAUGAUUUUUGUUGUUCAGUAAAUGAAGUACCUCCAUCCCCCAACAUCCCCAAGCUCAAUUCCAGUUUCCUCACAUACACUUUUUUUUUUUUUGAGACAGAGUCUCGCUCUGUCACCCAGGCUGGAAUGCUGUGCAGUGGUGAAACCUCAGCUCACUGCAACCUCCACCUCCCAGGUUCAAGUGAUUCUCCUGCCUCAGCCUCCUGAGUAGCUGGCAUUACAGGCAUGCAACAUCAUGCCUGGCUAAUUUUUGUAUUUUUAGUAGAGAUGAGGUUUCAUCAUGUCGUCCAGGCUUGUCUCAAACUCUCGGCCUCAAGUGAUCCACCCACCUCAGCCUCCCAAGUGCUAAGAUUACAGGUGUGAGCCACCGUGCCCAGCCCCCUCACUUACACUUUUACAGAAGAUCUGAUCAAACCCACUCCGCAGAAGUCAGAAUGGCCCCCACGUGGUGUUAAACGGGAGUGAAAACUUGAGUUCAAUCAACUGAGGGUGACACAGAAACAUUUCCCCCAAGAUGCUUUUGGCAGCUCUGCUGAUCCAUAACCUGGCUCCAUUUCAGGGCAAGACCUCCACUUAAGCUGCACUGGCUUCCACUAGAGUAAAUCACAUUAACUCAUGGCAAACACAACUGAAGGGCAAAAAGAUUCUUUUUAAAAUGAUUUUUGUCUCUCACUUACCAACACACGCUGGCCUCCCUAGAGCCUGACUCCAUUCAGCACCUGUUCCACUGAGCACCCACUGAAAGCUCAGCUCAUGAGCUGAGAUGACCCAGACAUCAAGGAGUUUACAAUCCAGGGGAAGAACAGACCUGAAUACAAGUGGUGACAAUACAAGACGGAGUCAAAGAGCCCAACUUGAAGUUUCAGCAGAAUAGCACCAAAGACUAGUUCCCAACCCAGCUCCCAGAGCCAGAGCCAGAGCCAGGCUGGCUGCAUGAGAUCAGCUGGGAGCUUUUGAAAACCUAGGUCCUAGCUGAGCCCCUAAACAUCAGACUGGGAGUCACUGGGAGUGAGCUCCAGGAACUGGUUUAUUUAAUAAGCACCCCCACACACAUGAUUCUGAUGUUCCUAAGGGUUGUAGAAACAUGGAACUAUAGAAAACACUAAAAAAAAAGGCACUAAAAGAAACCUAUAAAUAUUCACUACCAUCCCAGGCAUCAUGAGGACACUCCACGUGCACUAUUUACAAUACUUAGAAUAACCUGCAAGGGAAGCAUUCAUUCAUGACGAUGGGCUUUAUUGGGAUCAGAGCCAGCCCUAGGAAUGUUUGAACCUGCGCUGAAAGGCACCCCCUCCUCCCCACAGGAGGGGCCUAACAUUAAGGAGCAGGGGCCUGAUGGGAAAUGGAGUGUCCUUUUAUUAUGAGACCACAGUGAGAGACUUUUUUUUUUUUUUCCAGAGUCUCGUUCUUGCCACCCAGGCUGGUGUCCAGUGGUGCAAUCUCAGCUCACUGCAACUUCCGCCUCCCUGGUUCAAGUGAUUCUCCUGCCUCAGCCUCCCGAGUAGCUGGGACUAUAGGCACCCGCCACCACACCUGGCUAAUUUUUGUAUUUUUAAUAGAGACAGGGUUUCACCAUGUUGGUCAGGAUGGUCUUGAUCUCUUGACCUCAUGAUCUGCCUACCUUGGCUUCCCAAAGUGCUGGGAUUACAGGUGUGAGCCACCACGCCUAGCCUGAGACUUUCAAGUAAAGCCACAAUGGACCACAGAGCUUAGACAUUAGGGCUAACAUGGAAUCUCUGUCAUUAAAUCUUGAGAUCUUAUUAUCUUUGCUCAAAGAAAAAAAUAAUCACAAUUGACAUUUUGGGGACAAGACAUCUGAAUGUAAACUUGAUCUUACAGGAUAUUAAGGAAUUACUGGUAAUUUUAUUAGGUAUGACAAUGAUCAUAUAAAAAAUGCCCUCAUGUUUUUAGAGGGAAAGUAAAUUACGUAGGGGUGAAUAUCAGGAUGCAAUUACAUAACUACUGUAAACUAUUUUGUAAAUACUUCAGAAAAACAAAUGGAGUAAAUAUUGCAAAUGUUAAUAGUUUUUAAAUCUAUGUGAUGGGUAUAUGAUAGCUCAUUAAACUAGUCUCUCUACUUUUAUGUUUAUUGAAAAGUUUUGGUAAAAAAAAAAAAAAAAAAAACCUUGGCCAGGCACAGCAGCUCAUGCCUGUAAUCUCAGCACUUUGGGAGGCCGAGGUGGAUGGAGGACUGCUUGAGCCCAGGAGUUUGAGACCAGCCUAGGCAACAUGGUGAAACCUCAUCUCUACAAAAAAUAGACAAAUUAGUCAGGCAUGGUGGUGUGCACCUGCAGUCCCAGCUACUCAGGAGGCUGAGGUGGGAGGAUCACCUGAGCCCAGAAGGUCAAGGCUGCAGUGAGCCAAGGUCAAGCCACUGCACUCCAGCCUGGGCAACAGACCCUGUCUCAAACAAACAAACAAGCAAACAAAAACCCUCUUGAUCCCAUUUCCCAAAAAAAUGAUUUUUUUGAGAUCUUACCAUACCCUGGCUUGGUGCAGAGUACAGGAAAUCAAGACAAAGUACAGCACACAAGGAAUAAGGAGGGAGGGAAGCGUGGGGGAGGCUGACACUGUGGACUCUCCCAGCUCAGUCGACCCAUGCGCCUUGCUUCAUGGAAGAAAGGAAUGGAAGAUGAGUCAUGCCUUCAGCACACAGUGACCUUCCUCACUAGUAAAUGUGCCUCCAGACGUGUCCAAGAACUCACUGCCAGAGCCAGGCUGGCUACAUGAGAAUCACCUGAGAGCUUUUGCAAAUGUAGGCCCCUACUGGGUCCAAAUGCAUUCAUCUCUUGGAGAGGAGGAGAGAGGCAGAACAAGGAAAAGGAUGGGAAGAAACCAGCCUUGUGCACAGGAGGAUGCUGGGAUUCCUCCUGCAAGUUUAGCGCAAUGCAGCCUAUUUUACAAGGUCACAGAAGCUCAGAGAGUCCUGAGAGAGAAGCAGAUGUGGUUUCUAAUCCCACUUUCCCAAAGAGGAGACUGAGGCAGAGGCUUUGCAGAUACACAGAGGACAUGUGAGGACAGGUGAAGGUCAUGAACAUUGUCAGCCCCCUCCCCCAACUGGACAUUCCCAGAUCUGAUGGACUUCCAGCCAGUGGAGACAGAAAGACUGGAUCACUCAACUCUGCCAUGGGUGCCAGGACCCAAUUUUUCCCUGGCUAACUCGGUCACCUCCUGUCUGGGAUCUCCAACUACUACCCAUCCCAGAAGUCUCAGCUAAAACAGCAAUUCAACGGGGAAAUUUUUUCUGAGGCUUCAGGAUUGGACCAGGCUCUCUCCAUGGCUCUCUGCCCUUCCCCUACUGCAGAACUUAGCACCCGUAUGUGACUAUUGGUUCAAACAUGUGCCUUUCGUAUGCUCUCCACGUUAUCUGCAGCAUCUGCCAAGAAUAAUAAUGAAUGGUAAAACCUAAUCUCUAUUAAGUGUCGAUGAUGCACUUUUAACGUGACAUCUUAUUUAAUCCUCACUAUAUCUGCAAGAGUAGAAGCUAUUAAUAGCCAAUUUUCAGAUAAGAAAAUCAAAGCACAGUUUCUAUAACUUACCCAAGCAGCUAGCUAGGAGGCAGCUCAAUUUGAGCCCAGGGAAUCAGAUUCCAGAAACCAUGUUCCCAAUUACUAGAGCAGAUACCUCCCCAGAAUCUAGUAGGUGGUUAAUGAGUCUUUGUGGAAUAAAUGAACAGAAGGA